AUUGAACGCUGGCGGCAUGCCUUACACAUGCAAGUCGAACGGCAGCACGGGUGCUUGCACCUGGUGGCGAGUGGCGAACGGGUGAGUAAUACAUCGGAACGUACCUUAUCGUGGGGGAUAACGCAGCGAAAGCUGUGCUAAUACCGCAUACGCCCUGAGGGGGAAAGCGGGGGAUCGAAAGACCUCGCGCGAUUAGAGCGGCCGAUGCCUGACUAGCUUGUUGGUGGGGUAAAGCCCACCAAGGCGACGAUCAGUAGCUGGUCUGAGAGGACGAUCAGCCACACUGGGACUGAGACACGGCCCAGACUCCUACGGGAGGCAGCAGUGGGGAAUUUUGGACAAUGGGGGCAACCCUGAUCCAGCAAUGCCGCGUGAGUGAAGAAGGCCUUCGGGUUGUAAAGCUCUUUUGUCAGGGAAGAAACACCGGCUCUAACACAGUCCGGGAAUGACGGUACCUGAAGAAUAAGCACCGGCUAACUACGUGCCAGCAGCCGCCGUAA
rnacentral:rRNA from 1 species